GCCGGUUCAAACCGUAAACCGGAGGUUUGAACCGGCGGUUCACGGUUCGAAAAAAUCACAAGCCGAAACCGAACCGUCAGAAUGACGGUUUCGGUUCGGUUUGGCCGCGGUUUCGGUUUGAACCGUAACCGACGGUUCGAAAACCGGAGAACCGGCGGUUCGAACCGUCGGUUCGAAACCGAAUGGGCAAGUCUGUUCUCUGGUUUAAUCAGAAAUCCAAAAAAGUCAAAUAAAACCCGAGCGGGAACUUUUCACCUCUUCCUUUCUCUCUCUGUGCGCAACGGGAAAAAAAGAACAUUCAUGGCGAGAGUGAAACAACGGGCGCAGAAAGGUUCUCGCAGAAAAUCCACCGGAGCCGGACCUUCAUCUUCAACUCCUGUGUCGUCGGCAAGGAGAAGAAGUCUCUCCGGUGGUGCUGCUGCUACACCAAAUAGGGGGGAGGGGCAAGGUAAGACAAAGCGUCGGAAUCGGCCUGGGACAGUGGCUUUACGUGAGAUUAGGAAAUAUCAGAAGUCUUGGAACCUUCUAAUUCCUGCCGCUCCCUUUAUUAGAGUGUUGAAUGGCAGGUUAAAGAGAUUAGCUUCUCAUUUGCUCCAAGCAUCGGACGAUGGCAAGCAGAAGCUUUGGUUGUACUUCAGGAGGCUGCUGAGGAUUACAUAGUUCAGUUGUUUGAAGAGGCAGUGCUAUGUGCGGUUCAUGCAAAGCGGGUGACCGUUAUGAAGAAGGAUUUUGAGCUGGCACGUCGAAUUGGAGGCAAAGGGCGGCCCUGGUGAUAUAACCGCAAACCCGAAUUUGUCACCAUUAUUACAUUGUAAGCACCUCUUAGCAGCUCUAUUGAUUUAAACAAUGAUUAAGGAUUCUUGAAGUUGUUAGGCGAAUUGUUUUAGAAGGUAGAUGUGUAACAAAACCCGAACAUCGCUGUAAUUGGCGCCUGUAUGCUGCAAAGUGCACUUAACUGUGUCACACAAACAGCCCUGUUGUUAUAUAUAUUUGUGUAACUUCCGUGAAUGUGCGGGUGCCAGGUUAUCCGAUAUUUGAAUAGUAAUUAAAUAAA